rnacentral:rRNA from 1 species
AUACGGGGGGUGCAAGCGUUAAUCGGAAUUACUGGGCGUAAAGCGCGCGUAGGCGGUUUGCUCAGUCGGAUGUGAAAGCCCAGGGCUCAACCUUGGAACUGCAUACGAUACUGGCUAACUAGAGUGUGAGAGAGGAUAGUGGAAUUUCCGGUGUAGCGGUGAAAUGCGUAGAUAUCGGAAGGAACAUCAGUGGCGAAGGCGACUGUCUGGCUCAACACUGACGCUGAGGUGCGAAAGCGUGGGUAGCAAACAGGAUUAGAAACCCUAGUAGUCC